rnacentral:rRNA from 1 species
AAUGGCUCAUUAAAUCAGUUAUCGUUUAUUUGAUAGUACCUUACUACUUGGAUAACCGUGGUAAUUCUAGAGCUAAUACAUGCUAAAAACCUCGACUUCGGAAGGGGUGUAUUUAUUAGAUAAAAAACCAAUGCCCUUCGGGGCUCCUUGGUGAUUCAUAAUAACUUAACGAAUCGCAUGGCCUUGUGCCGGCGAUGGUUCAUUCAAAUUUCUGCCCUAUCAACUUUCGAUGGUAGGAUAGUGGCCUACCAUGGUUUCAACGGGUAACGGGGAAUUAGGGUUCUAUUCCGGAGAGGGAGCCUGAGAAACGGCUACCACAUCCAAGGAAGGCAGCAGGCGCGCAAAUUACCCAAUCCCGACACGGGGAGGUAGUGACAAUAAAUACUGAUACAGGGCUCUUUUGGGUCUUGUAAUUGGAAUGAGUACAAUUUAAAUCCCUUAACGAGGAACAAUUGGAGGGCAAGUCUGGUGCCAGCAGCCGCGGUAAUUCCAGCUCCAAUAGCGUAUAUUAAAGUUGUUGCAGUUAAAAAGCUCGUAGUUGAACCUUGGGCCUGGCUGGCCGGUCCGCCUCACCGCGUGCACUGGUCCGGCCGGGUCUUUCCUUCUGGGGAGCCGCAUGCCCUUCACUGGGUGUGUCGGGGAACCAGGACUUUUACUUUGAAAAAAUUAGAGUGUUCAAAGCAGGCCUAUGCUCGAAUACAUUAGCAUGGAAUAAUAGAAUAGGACGUGUGGUUCUAUUUUGUUGGUUUCUAGGACCGCCGUAAUGAUUAAUAGGGAUAGUCGGGGGCAUCAGUAUUCAAUUGUCAGAGGUGAAAUUCUUGGAUUUAUUGAAGACUAACUACUGCGAAAGCAUUUGCCAAGGAUGUUUUCAUUAAUCAGUGAACGAAAGUUAGGGGAUCGAAGACGAUCAGAUACCGUCGUAGUCUUAACCAUAAACUAUGCCGACUAGGGAUCGGGCGAUGUUAUCUUUUUGACUCGCUC